GAUGAACGCUGGCGGCGUGCCUAAUACAUGCAAGUCGAGCGAACAGACGAGGAGCUUGCUCCUCUGACGUUAGCGGCGGACGGGUGAGUAACACGUGGAUAACCUACCUAUAAGACUGGGAUAACUUCGGGAAACCGGAGCUAAUACCGGAUAAUAUAUUGAACCGCAUGGUUCAAUAGUGAAAGACGGUUUUGCUGUCACUUAUAGAUGGAUCCGCGCCGCAUUAGCUAGUUGGUAAGGUAACGGCUUACCAAGGCGACGAUGCGUAGCCGACCUGAGAGGGGGACGGGCAACAGGGGAAGGGGAACGCGGCCCGGCCCCCGACGGGAGGAGGCAGAAGGGAAUCUUCGGAAAUGGGCGAAAGCCGGACGGGGAACCGCCGGGGGAGGUUGAAAGGUGUCGGGAUCGAAAAACUUUUUUAUGGGGAAAAAACAAAUGGUUAAGUAACUAUGCCCGUCUGGAGGGUCCCUAAUAGGAAAGCCACGGCUAACUACGGC
rnacentral:rRNA from 1 species